AUGAUAACGGACAAUGCUUUAGUAGCUUUUGAGUGCAUUCACUAUAUAAAGCAAGAGAAAGAUCCCUCGAAGAGCUUUUGUGCUUAUAAGCUAGACCUCUCCAAAGCUUAUUAUAGGGUGGACUGGGUUUUCUUGAAGCAGGUGUUGCAAAAGAUGGGAUUCUCAGACCGAUGGGUAGACUGGAUAAUGUCAUGUGUCACAUCGGUUAGAUACUCUGUUAAGUUAAAUGGAACCCUCUUGGAUUCGUUUGCACCGAUGCAUGGGCUUCAGCAAGGUGACCCGUUAUCACCGUUCUUAUUCUUGUUUGUGGCUGAUGGUCUCUCUUCAAUCUUAAGGCAGCAAGUUAUGGCUAAUGCAAUAACUCCACUCAAAAUCUGUCGGAGAGCUCCGGGCAUCUCACACUUACUCUUCGCAGAUGACACUCUUUUAUUUUUUAAAGCAUCACAGGAACAAGCUUUGGAAGUAAAGAAGGCGUUGGAUCUGUACAAUACAGCCACGGGCCAAAGUCACUAG
rnacentral:rRNA from 1 species